rnacentral:lncRNA from 1 species
UUUAUUUGAGAAGUAUCUAGUAUCCUCCUAGAAUUGUCUAGUUUAAUACAUUGAUUUUUAUGAAAGAUUUUUCUAGCUAGUACAAGAUGAUUCUAGAAUACUUCAUGUUAAUCAAGUUUAAUCUUAACACCCCCCCUUCAAACUUGAUUUGUGUCUCUCUUGGUAAUCUUCAUCUGAUUCCUGAAUUGAACAAACUUGUCAANNN